UUUGGUAAUAUGAUUGAACUAUCUGGAAGCAGUAUAUAUUUAUUAUCAUACUUAACUUGUUUUUAUCUCUUGAAAUAAGGUACAUUUUUCCUGUCUGAAUCAUGUUAUCAGAUAUUUGAGCUAUUGAUAGGAUUUUAAAAUAAUUUUUCCCUAAAAGUUAGUAGGAAUUAUUUCCUGUGAAGAUAAAAGACUACAAUUCAUGGUAAUAUUGAACAAAAUAAUGAAACCAUCAAAUUAUCUUUCAAAGCUACCGUUUUAAUUUGCCUUCCUACCAACAAUAAAUGUAAUUGGUCACCAUGACAGAAAGUUGAGAAAACCAAAUAUAACUUGGCUUCAAGAAGCUCAUGAUUCUGGAGAAAUGAACUGUCAGCAGUAGAGAAAGCUGUCAGCCAAAGAGAAACCUUUGAAAGAGAUAUCUUGGGAAGUGAUUUAUGAUGAAGGAAUCUGCUUUUUGAAAAUUAACAUCACACUGGAAUGAGCAAAGAUGAAAAUAUUUACUGCAAUUUUAAUGAACAUCAACCAAGAAAUUUCUCAGUUCAGAAUUUUCAAAGUCAACAAAAGCAAAUUAACUAACGAAAUGACCCACAUGGCUAGCUGGAGUAUGCUGAUUUUACCUUCACUUCUAGAAAGAAAACUUUCCUAUAAACAGCAACAAUAACGCCCCACCACCCCCCCCAAAAAAACCAACAACUAUUUUCAUACAUUCUACCCAGUUAUAUAGAGGAGAAAGUAGAUAGAUUAAUCUGGUAUAUUUACACAUGUGUGAAAAAAUAUUCUAAAUAA